GGAUUCCAGUCAAGAAGAGAAUUGAAGCAACUGUGAAUGAUAAGGGAAAACUUUACCACUAAGCUUAUGAAACGGCCCUCAAGUGAGUCAUUUGAGGGUUAACAGCUGCUCUUCAUGAAGAAGUUACUACUUUUUUUUCUUCAGACUUAUAUACUUAUUCAUAUUUUUGGUAUUGUUCUUUGUCUUUAUAUUACAUUUGAUCUUUGUCCCAACCUUUACUUAAGAAAGUGAAAAG
rnacentral:lncRNA from 1 species